rnacentral:rRNA from 1 species
GAUUUCUGGUGUGGUGCGCCGAGCCCGCGUCCGUUUAGGUCGUGAGUGCUUGCUGCGCGCCUACCAUCCUUCCGGAGAGGCCGAUCUGCCCUUAACUGGGAUGGGUUGUGUCGAUCUGGAUCGUUUACUUUGAAAAAAUUAGAGUGUUUAAAGCAGGCGUUUGCUAUGAACACAUUAGCAUGGAAUAAUAAGAUAGGACUUUGGUUCUAUUUUGUUGGUUUCUAGGACUGAAGUAAUGAUUGAUAGGGACAGUUGGGGGUGCUAGUAUUUAACGGCCAGAGGUGAAAUUCUUGGAUUCGUUAAAGACUAACUUAUGCGAAAGCAUU